rnacentral:tRNA from 2 species
GGAUGGAUGUCUGAGCGGUUGAAAGAGUCGGUCGUCGAAAACCGAAGUAUUUUUCGGAAU